GGGGGCGGGAGCUGGGGUCUGCAGGUUCGCACUGAUGCCUGCUCGCCCUGUCUCCCGCUAG
ensembl:miRNA MIR6726 microRNA 6726